GCAAGAUUAAAACUCAAAGGAAUAGACGGGGACCCGCACAAGCGGUGGAGCAUGUGGUUUAAUUCGACGAUACGCGAAGAACCUUACCUGGCCUUGACAUAGAGAGAAUCUUUUAGAGAUAGAAGAGUGCUAGUUUACUAGAACUUUCAUACAGGUGCUGCACGGCUGUCGUCAGCUCGUGUCGUGAGAUGUUGGGUUAAGUCCCGCAACGAGCGCAACCCUCGUGUUUAGUUACUAACAGUUCGGCUGAGGACUCUAAACAGACUGCCUGGGUAACCAGGAGGAAGGUGAGGACGACGUCAAGUCAUCAUGGCCCUUACGGCCAGGGCUACACACGUGCUACAAUGGGGUAUACAAAGAGCAGCAAUACGGUGACGUGGAGCAAAUCUCAUAAAAUAUCUCCCAGUUCGGAUUGAAGUCUGCAACUCGACUUCAUGAAGUUGGAAUCGCUAGUAAUCGUAGAUCAGCAAUGCUACGGUGAAUACGUUCCCGGGUCUUGUACUCACCGCCCGUCACACCAUGGGAAUUGAAUUCAUUCGAAGCGGGGAUGCUAAAAUAGCUACCUUCCACAGUGGAUUUAGUAACUAGGGUGAAGUCGUAACAAGGUA
rnacentral:rRNA from 1 species